GUAUGGGCAGGCAGAUUCUUUACCACUGAGUCACCAGGGAAAACCAAGUCACCUUACAGAGUGCUUAUUUAUUAAUUCAAAAUGGGCUGUGUCUCUUUCCAAUAACUGGGCCAUUUAUAUCUGCUAUCCAGUGUAUCUAUUCUCAGAUAUCAAGCCAGAAAGAAAGCUCACGGUUAUUAGAUUUCUUCUGUACACAGGACAUGCCAGUCACAUUUACACAUGUUACUUCUAGUUAAUCCUCAUUUCAACCCCAUGAGGUGUUAUCUCCAUUUUAGAGAUAAAGAAACCAAUAUUCAAAGAGGCUGAGUAAAUAGCUCAAGCUCGCAAAGCCAGUGAGAAAGAGUCAGAACAUUUCAGCUGCAAUACCUGUGGGCCUCCUCCUCCUUUGACCUGGGGGGCCACAGAGUGAGACAUAGAGAUGAAACAGUCUCACCAGGUUCAAGUCACAGCAGAGUUCAGGAAAGGUCUCUUUCGUGACCCUCAAUCUGAGUCCAGAGAGAAGAGUGGCUAGAUGAAAAUCCAGGUGAGGAGUGUGGACAGUGGGGUCAGCCUGUGCAAUGGCCCUGCAGUGGGGGACACAUCGGUGAGCUUGAGGAACCGUGUGGCUGCAGCCCAGCCAGCACAGGCUUCACAAGCUAUUCUGUAGCUGGCCUGACCACAUCUCAGAAAGUCCACACUCCGGGACAAGGCUCGUGGCGCCUCCAGUCUUUAUGGACCCCUGUCUUUUCAAGGAUGUUUCUACAGAUCACCAUGAACAUGUCUGAAGAACCAAGGAAGUGAAACUGCAAAUGAGGUUAUGUUUUCUGGUGCCUCUUUUGUUGAAGUUUGUGCAUAGAGAUUUCAAUUCCUUAUACAAAUCUACCA